rnacentral:miRNA from 1 species
GAGCCUAAUUCGAACGAACCGAGU